UAUUUCGUGGUGUGAACCUUUAAGUAGGACGCAUUUAACAAUCGAUAACACAUGCACAGACACGCUCCAUUGCAUUUGUAUAGAAUUCAAGGGGAAGAAAAUGUACUAAUUCAACAUUCAUGGGAGCUUUUUUGAAAAAUCUGGUUGCACACACUAGCAACUUAACAAUGGACCUUCACAACCAGAAAGAAUUAAAUUAUAUAAAACUUUAAGAAGAUACACUGUUCUGAUAAUACGUAUAGACAUAAAUCACUCUGCCAGCUGUCCAGCAAAAUUUAAGGACCCUUCCCGUCACCCCGUUUCCUGUUCUCUAAUGGCGUUUACAGAACAAAAUUGCAUAAGACUGAAGAAAUGCAAAGGAUGUAAACAAUACAUCCCUGUAGAUGCCAGUACCCAUCACUCUUGCAGAUGUGUGGUUUUGACGUGUUUGGGAGAAGAUGAGCGUGAGUCUUCCUGCUCCGCCAUCUUCAUCCUUCCCCAAUACCUACGGCUCUUAACCUUAUUGGUCUCUCAUUCAUCAAAGAACAUCUCGUGGAAGUUUAUUCCUCCAGGAAUGUAAUAGUGUCAUGGACAUGAUGAGGGUGUAUACAGACCUGGAUUAUUGUAAUGCAUCCCCAAAUUCAUAUAUCAGACUUUUAGCCAAAAUAACUGGGAAAACCUUGACAGCAUCAGCAAAGAAAUAUUAGAGUUCUGGCAGUUGACGUGUAACUUCUGUUCAGGAGAAUAACAAUGCCUUUGUUGGAGAAAUGCGUUAAGACAGAGCAAGGAAUGCUGUUUCUUAAAAGCCAAGAAAAUUGAUUUACUAUAUUUUUCACACCUUCUCUCUUGCUAGAGGGAAGGUAAAUUGAUUCAACUUCUUUGAAAUCUAAUUUGACAAUAUUUAUCAAAAUCACCUCUGGUCUCCUAAUUCCCUCCUAGCCACUUAUCUUUUAGGUAUACGCACACCUGUGUGAAAGGAACCCUGCACGAGACUGUUCUAUAGUCAGUGUUAUUUGUGGUUGCAAAAUAUUGGAAUUAACCUAAGUGUCCAGAUGUGGAGAAGAGCCUGGGUGAUUUAUGGGACAUCCACACAGUACAAUACUGGGUAGAGGUUAAAAGAAAAAAAGGGUGAGAAAAACUGUUACUGCACUGUUAGUGAACUAUCUGCAAGAUAUUUUGUUAGCUUAAAAAAAAAAACCCUGAGAAAUAGUAUGACUAGUAGUAUGCAAACAAGGGUGAAAUAGUGGUGCAUUAGGUAAAUGAUAUGUAACUACCUUACAAAACAAAAGGUUUCAAGUUUGCUGGUUGUAUUUCUUCUUUCCACACAAUGACUACAAAUGAAUUUUUAUAACAGCUUUCUUUUCCCAAAAUGAAAGUAAGGUGGAGUAAAGCUACCCUAUUGAAGAAACACUAAGAAAAUUAGGAGUUCCCCUUGUGGCUAAGUGGGUUAAGAAUCCGACUAGUGGAGCUCCCGUUGUGGCUCAGUGGUUAAUGAAUCCGACCAGGAACCAUGAGGUUGAGGGUUCGAUCCCUGGCCUUGCUCAGUGGGUUAAGGAUCCUGUGUUGCCAUGAGCUGUGGUGUGGGUCGCAGAUGUGGCUCAGAUCCCGAGUUGCUGUGGCUCUGGCGUAGGCUGGCAGCUACAGCUCCGAUUAGACCCCUGGCCUGGGAACCUCCAUAUGCUGCGGGUGUGGCCCCAAAAUGAAAAACAAACAAACAAACCAAAAAAACCCAAAACAAAGCAAUAUGUGGGAAGACUUAGCAGUGAGGAAAAGUUUUUAAGGAAUUGAAUGACAAUGCGUGGGACUUGACCAGAGAAAGUGAUGCAACAGGUCUGGAAGGAUGGUGGGGGCUCCUGAGUUCCCUCUGGACCCAGCCCCUGCCUCCCUCGAAAGCGGGAUGGGGGGGGGAGGGGACAGCCAGGCAGGCAAGUGACCAGUGCUCAGCAGAAAAUACUAACCUUGAGCAAAACACAGACAAAGCAGCCUGACAGAUUUUGAGCAGAGGAGUGGUGAGAGCAGACCCGUGCUUUAGAAAUUUCUCUGGCAAUGUGAGGUCAACAGUCACCCCCCGCCCCAAAAGGCAGUUGUUUAAGUUGACAGUGAUAGUAUAGCAUCUCUGGUAGUUGGAAGGACAGGGGGAUGAAUUAGGAAGCUGUUAAAAUAGUCCAGGAACAAUGACCACGAGGGCAGUCGUGGGGCAGUGGGAGUCAGGGGAGGGGGAGAGGUUGAAACCUUUCUGGGGGCUAGAACUGGCCAGCCCCCACCCCCCUGUGCCCACCCUCCCUCCCUUUGAUGCGCCCUCAUUGGAGGUCACUGAGGCGUAGAGCAAUAGCUCAUCUUUCCCACAGCGCCUUUUGGACGGGCUUUCAUGGGGAUUUGCCCUUGUGGGUGUAUUGAACGGCAGGCUUACUUUUUUGUUGUUUCCUUUCUGAAGCAGGCGGCAAAUACUGUUGCUAAGUGGAGAGGCUGAAUCCGUAUGCGUCUGGACCAAUGAGAACUCUCCUGGGCUAGCAUCUUCUUGGGAGCUCUCGGUGAAGCUUGUCAAGUUCUGAACAAAACCUCAGAACAAAGAGUCAGCCGCCCAGCUCUUUGUUCCAUUGGAUGUCAUUUUAGAAGCAUUUUGAGUCCCCGGAGAAGGGAGCUGGGGAACUUGAUUAGAAACAGCCCCUGUGAGUGUGUGAAGUUCCUGUUACCAUUGGGCACGGAUUGCGCACAGGGACCUGGCAUCCAUCAUCUCCAAUACAGCAGAGUUGCAGGUACCUUUACCCUCGGUUUUUUGAGCAGAAACUGAGGGUCCUGCGGGGUAGGAUGCUUGCCAAAGAGGCUAGAAAGGGUGGAUGCAGGGCUCGCUCCAGCCCAGAGCUCUGUGUUCCUUCUUUCUGGCCACCUCGACUCUUUCAGCCUCCGUCCAUCUCUGCAGCACUCGUGUCCUGCCACAUGUUUGUCCUGGCGCCUCAUCACCUUCGUCAAAAGGGAAUCAUCAGUCCGUCCACGGCGGUUUGGUUACCAACAUUUCCGAAGCCUCAACACUGAGCAAGUGCCUGAGAAGUGCGGAGGGAGCUCAAGAUAAACUGAGCGUUCAGCACGUUCAGUUACCAGUGGCCGUAGUGCCAAGAGCUCCGAGGAGACCCUUGCGUCGACCUGGCGGCCUCUUUUCUCUCGCCCCGUCCCCUUCGCCGGGAAUUCCUGCUCCACGUCUUCCGUCCGCUCCCUUCGCCGUCCCCUCCGGGAGCUCCGCCCUCCGGGCUUUCCCGCGCUCCGGCCUCCGGGAGCCGAGGGGCGCGUGGGAGCGCGCCGGCCGCCGCGGGCA
rnacentral:lncRNA from 1 species